rnacentral:lncRNA from 1 species
AUAAAGAGUAUUGCUAAAGAACAAAGAGUACACACAUCACAUAGCCCAUAUAAAGUACACACAUCACAUAGAUUCAUAGCAAUUAAAGUUCAAACAUCACACAGCUACUAAGAGUACACACAAUGGAGUUCCCAUAGCGAUUUAGAGUGCACAUAGAGAUGUAAUACUAAACUAAAGUUCAAAGGUGCACAAUAAAGUGCACAACAUGAUGACAACGACGUAGCUCUACUGUGUAGAGCAAGGACCAAUUCCCUUUCCCUUCUUCUUCUUCCUCUCUUCUUCUUCUUCUUCUUCUUCUUCCUUAUCCCUUUUCCUUAUGAGACUUGCCUCGUGAACCACCUUCUCUAUGAAGCGCUUGUGCUCCCUCUCUUUCUUUGCCGC